rnacentral:tRNA from 1 species
UCCCUGGUGGCUUAGACCAUAAAGGAUCUGUCUGAAAUGCAGGAGACCCAGGUUCGACCCCUGAUUAGGGGA